UCUGCAGUGAUGAGAUCUUUACCGCCCCAGUCUGAAUUCUUUUGAUGGAGUGGUCCCCUCUGAGUCAAU